AUGCUUAACACAUGCAAGUCGCACGGUCAGCAAUGGCAGUGGCGGACGGGUGAGGUAACGCGUAGGUAUCGUAUCCUCGGUGGGGGACGAACCGACGGGAAACUGUAGGCUAAUACCGCAUGAUCCCUGAGGGGCAAAGGCGAAAGUCGCCUGAGGAGGAGCCUGCGUCUGAUUAGGUAGUUGGUGGGGUAAAGGCCGUACCAAGCCCUACGAUCAGUAGCUGGUCUGAGAGGAUGAUCAGCCACAUUGGGACUGAGACACGGCCCAAACUCCUACGGGAGGCAGCAGUGGGGAAUAUUGGACAAUGGGCGCAAGCCUGAUCCAGCAAUGCCGCGUGGGUGAAGAAGGUCUUCGGAUUGUAAAGCCCUUUUGGCGGGGUACGAGUGAUGACGGUACCCGCAGAAUAAGCUCCGGCUAACUUCGUG
rnacentral:rRNA from 1 species